CCUACGGGCGGCAGCAGUAGGGAAUCUUUCACAAUGGGCGAAAGCCUGAUGGAGCAACGCCGCGUGCAGGAUGAAGGCCUUCGGGUUGUAAACUGCUUUUAUAAGCGAGAAAUAUGAUGGUAACUUAUGAAUAAGGAUCGGCUAACUACGUGACAGCAGCCGCGGUCAUACGUAGGAGCCGAGCAUUAUCCGGAGUGACUGGGGGUAAAGAGUUGCGUAGGUGGGAUAAUAAGUAGCUAGUGAAAUCGGGUGGCUCAACCAUUCAGACUAUUAGCUAAACUGUUAAGCUCGAGACCGUUAGGGGUAACUGGAAUUUCUAGUGUAGGAGUGAAAUCCGUAGAUAUUAGAAAGAACACCGAUAGCGUAGGCAGGUUACUGGGACGGUUCUGACACUAAGGCACGAAAGCGUAGGGAGCAAACGGGAUUAGAUACCCUAGUAGUC
rnacentral:rRNA from 1 species